GACGAAGGAUGCAAGCGUUAUCCGGAUUCAUUGGGUUUAAAGGGAGCGUAGGUGGCCUUAUAAGUCAGUGGUGAAAUCUUCGAGCUUAACUCGGAAAUUGCCAUUGAUACUGUAGGGCUUGAGCAUAGUUCCUUGGCGGAAUAUGACAUGUAGUGGUGAAAUACAUAGAGAUGUCAUAGAACACCGAUUGCGAAAGGCAGCUGACGAAACUAUAACUGACACUGAGGCUCGAAAGUGCGGGGACAAACAGG
rnacentral:rRNA from 1 species